UUUAAAAUCAAAAUUUAUUAUUUUAUAUUUCAACACGAUUUUAGCGCAAUGUAGUUGCAACACGUUAUACAAUUUCAUGGUCAACCGUUUUGUUCCGUUUAAGACAUGGAGCGUGGUUCAUUUGCGGGCACCGCGGCUGUGGUUCAAGCCAAGUGCGCAUUUCCCCAUUGUCUCCUUAAUAAAUUACGCAAGAAACGGCGCGCAGAGACCGCUGCGACCCGACUGAAAGAGACGUAAAUCCGUAUUUUGCAACGGAAAUAAACACACACAAAGAAAUUCUCCCUCGCUGGAUAUGAUAGUGCCCGAACACAAUAAUGUAAAUAAAACGGCGGAAAGCGGUGCGAAUUGCGAGUCAACGUCGAAAAGCUAAACCAAAAAAUGACCACCUAAAGAUAUACACAGAGUCGUAUUUAGGUUAAACGAAACUGUUUGAAGAGUAAACAGAAAAAAUAUAUACCCAUGUUAUCCUUUAAAAAUAAACAAUCCCAUAAU